rnacentral:rRNA from 1 species
GGGGAAUAAUUGGACAAUGGGGGCAGGCUUGAUCAACCCUUCCGGGGGGGGUGAGGAGGGCCUUGGGGUGGAAAAGCCCUUUGGUGGGGAAAGAAAAGCAUUGGGUUAAUACCGGAUUGUCUUGACGGUCCCAAAAGAAUAAGAACCGGCUAACUUCUGGCCAGCAGCCGCGGUAAUACGAAGGGUGCAAGCGUUACUCGGAAUUACUGGGCGUAAAGCGUGCGUAGGUGGUUGUUUAAGUCUGUCGUGAAAGCCCUGGGCUCAACCUGGGAAUUGCGAUGGAAACUGGGCGACUAGAGUGUGGCAGAGGGUAGUGGAAUUCCUGGUGUAGCAGUGAAAUGCGUAGAGAUCAGGAGGAACAUCCGUGGCGAAGGCGACUGCCUGGGCCAACACUGACACUGAGGCACGAAAGCGUGGGGAGCAAACA